UUUUACAACGAAGAGUUUGAUCCUGGCUCAGGAUGAACGCUAGCUGCAGGCUUAAUACAUGCAAGUCGAGGGGUAACAGAGAGUGCUUGCACUCUGCUGACGACCGGCGCACGGGUGCGUAACGCGUAUGCAACCUACCUUUUACAGAGGGAUACCCAAGAGAAAUUUUGAAUAAUACCUCAUAAGCUCUAUUCGUAUCAUUAUUUAUAGAGGAAAACUUCGGUGGUAAUUGAUGGGCAUGCGUCCUAUUAGUUUGUUGGUAAGGUAACGGCUUACCAAGACUACGAUAGGUAGGGGUCCUGAGAGGGAGAUCCCCCACACUGGUACUGAGACACGGACCAGACUUCUACGGAAGGCAGCAGUAAGGAAUAUUGGACAAUGGAGGCAACUCUGAUCCAGC
rnacentral:rRNA from 1 species